CCCUUAGAUGUCCUGGGCCGCACGCGCGCUACACUGAGUGUCUGAGAUACGAGUCUGCCUGGUCCGGCAAGGUCUAGGUAAUCGCUAAAAGACACAUCAUGCUUGGGAUAGAUUAUUGCAAAUAUUAAUCUUGAACGAGGAAUUCCUAGUAAGCGCAAGUCAACAGCUUGCGUUGAUUACGUCCCUGCCCUUUGUACACACCGCCCGUCGCUACUACUGAUUGGAUGUUUAAGCGAGGUUCUCGAACUGCUAGCGACUUAGCUUCGGUGAGGUCGCAGUGUGGGAAGUGAACCUAGCUUUAGUGUCUAGAGGAAGUAAAAGUCGUAACA
rnacentral:rRNA from 1 species